rnacentral:rRNA from 1 species
CCCUUAGAUGUUCUGGGCCGCACGCGCGCUACACUGACGAUGUCAGAGAGUGUCUCCUUCACCGAGAGGUGUGGGUAAUCUUUUAAACAUCGUCGUGCUGGGGAUAGAUCAUUGCAAUUUUUGAUCUUAAACGAGGAAUUCCUAGUAAGCGCGAGUCAUCAGCUCGCGCUGAUUACGUCCCUGCCCUUUGUACACACCGCCCGUCGCUACUACCGAUUGAAUGGUUUAGUGAGGCCUUCUGACUGGCGCCGCUACUCUGACAACAGAGCGGCGGAUGCCGGGAAGUUGGUCAAACUUGAUCAUUUAGAGGAAGUAAAAGUCGUAACA